rnacentral:rRNA from 1 species
CACGUAGGGCGCAAGCGUUGUCCGGAAUUAUUGGGCGUAAAGAGCUCGUAGGCGGUCUGUUACGUCUGCUGUGAAAACCCGGGGCUUAACCCUGGGCUUGCAGUGGAUACGGGCAGACUAGAGGCAGGUAGGGGAGAAUGGAAUUCCCGGUGUAGCGGUGGAAUGCGCAGAUAUCAGGAGGAACACCGGUGGCGAAGGCGGGUCUCUGGGCAGUAACUGACGCUGAGGAGCGAAAGCGUGGGGAGCGAACAGG